rnacentral:snRNA from 1 species
AAGCGUUCUUGGGCGAGAGUAG